rnacentral:rRNA from 1 species
CACUCCUGCGGGAGGCAGCAGUGGGGAAUUUUGGACAAUGGGCGAAAGCCUGAUCCAGCCAUGCCGCGUGCAGGAUGAAGGCCUUCGGGUUGUAAACUGCUUUUGUACGGAACGAAACGGCCUUUUCUAAUAAAGAGGGCUAAUGACGGUACCGUAAGAAUAAGCACCGGCUAACUACGUGCCAGCAGCCGCGGUAAUACGUAGGGUGCAAGCGUUAAUCGGAAUUACUGGGCGUAAAGCGUGCGCAGGCGGUUAUGUAAGACAGUUGUGAAAUCCCCGGGCUCAACCUGGGAACUGCAUCUGUGACUGCAUAGCUAGAGUACGGUAGAGGGGGAUGGAAUUCCGCGUGUAGCAGUGAAAUGCGUAGAUAUGCGGAGGAACACCGAUGGCGAAGGCAAUCCCCUGGACCUGUACUGACGCUCAUGCACGAAAGCGUGGGGAGCAAACAGGAUUAGAUACCCUUGUAGUCCCAU